AGAUCAAUGAGGAUCUGGAGGAGACUACAUCAAUCCAGCACCCUUCCCUUCUCCACCACCAAAUCACAGAAGUCGAAUGCCAAGAUGCCAUCUUGAAGUGGAAUAGGGUAUGAGGAAACUGAGGCACAGAAGUUGUCGACGCCAAUCUCCUCUACUAAUUAGUGAUGAACCCUGAGUGGAAACAGUUCUAAGGCAUACUGGAGCCCUCUGUGUUUCCUACCGCACCCACUGAAUCAAACAACAUUUCUUACUUCCAUGAGAAGGUGAAUACAGCAGAGAAGCAAAAAAUCAUUCCUCAGCUUUGACUUCUCAAAUCCAGCUCUUUUAAAACCAGGAGCUGAGACAACAGUCUGGAAAGCAAGGGUUUCAUUUGAUGCACUGACACUGUUUCUAAGAAGCUAUGUGAUAGCAGCAGCAGAGUGCUAACUCAUCAGAACACAUGACAAGAACAUCCAACAUGGCUCUAUCACUCAAAUUACACUUUUGACUAAUCAAGAAGCAGCCAACAAAGAGCAGCUAAGGUCACUGGCCUAAUUCAACAGUUCACUGAUUAUACGAGGCAGAGAGAGUUCUCGUGAUUGGUUCCCCUAUUCCCCAAUGGAUUUCCUUUAAAGAGGAAUAAAGGAUCAUUUUUGAUUACUCUGAAAUGAACCUGUUCCCACAGUUUUGAUUAAUGAUGAUUUGAUUGCUUUCCCUUGUUCAGCCACUGUUUGAUACGUGAUCCCUCAGAUUCCUUCCAGAAAUAGGCUUAGAAGACCAUCCAAGAUGCCCAUAAACUGUAAAGCUAGGAGACACUCAAAAGAAUAGAUACCUUUCCAGAAAAGUCUGAAUUAUUUUUGCUUUAGAGAGCCAGAAUUAUAACCUGUUAUCACUACUUCCAGCCUUCAAAUAUAUACAUACAUAUUGU